UACAGAGGUCUCAAGCGUUGUUCGGAUUCAUUGGGCGUAAUGGGUGCGUAGGCGGCGCGGUAAGUCGGGUGUGAAAUCUCGGAGCUUAACUCCGAAACUGCAUUCGAUACUGCCGUGCUUGAGGACUGGAGAGGAGACUGGAAUUUACGGUGUAGCGGUGAAAUGCGUAGAUAUCGUAAGGAAGACCAGUGGCGAAGGCGGGGCUCUGGACAGUUCCUGACGCUGAGGCACGAAGGUCAGGGGAGCAAACGGG
rnacentral:rRNA from 1 species